GUGAUUUGGAAGCACAUAUAGUGAAACUGGAACAAUACCGAGAAGAAUGCAAUGGUCCCUGCACAAGAAUGCUACACACAUUGGAUUAGCAUUCCAUAUUUUU